rnacentral:tRNA from 1 species
GGAGAGGUGGCAGAGUGGUCGAAUGUACCUGACUCGAAAUCAGGCGUAGGUGCAAGCCUACCGUGGGUUCGAAUUCGAUGGGCAUGCCCCCA